CAGCCGCCGCGGUAAAACAGAGGGUGCGAGCGUUAAUCGGAUUUACUGGGCGUAAAGCGUGCGUAGGCGGCUUCUUAAGUCGGAUGUGAAAUCCCUGAGCUUAACUUAGGAAUUGCAUUCGAUACUGGGAAGCUAGAGUAUGGGAGAGGAUGGUAGAAUUCCAGGUGUAGCGGUGAAAUGCGUAGAGAUCUGGAGGAAUACCGAUGGCGAAGGCAGCCAUCUGGCCUAAUACUGACGCUGAGGUACGAAAGCAUGGGGAGCAAACAGGAUUAGAUACCCGCGUAGUCCCUGUCUCUUAUAA
rnacentral:rRNA from 1 species